rnacentral:tRNA from 1 species
GGGGCUGUAGCUCAUUUGGGAGAGCGCUGCAAUCGCACUGCAGAGGCAGUGAGUUCGAAUCUCAUCAGCUCCA